rnacentral:rRNA from 1 species
AUACGAAGGGGGCAAGCGUUGUUCGGAAUAACUGGGCGUAAAGCGCACGUAGGCGGAAUGUUAAGUUAGAGGUGAAAUCCCAGGGCUCAACCCUGGAACGGCCUUUAAUACUGGCAAUCUAGAGACCGAGAGAGGUGAGUGGAAUUCCGAGUGUAGAGGUGAAAUUCGUAGAUAUUCGGAGGAACACCAGUGGCGAAGGCGGCUCACUGGCUCGGUACUGACGCUGAGGUGCGAAAGCGUGGGGAGCAAACAGGAUUAGAAACCCAGUAGUCC